CAUUCACGGAGAGUUUGAUCCUGGCUCAGGACGAACGCUGGCGGCGUGCUUAACACAUGCAAGUCGAACGAUGAACCACUUCGGUGGGGAUUAGUGGCGAACGGGUGAGUAACACGUGGGCAAUCUGCCCUGCACUCUGGGACAAGCCCUGGAAACGGGGUCUAAUACCGGAUACUGACCCGCCUGGGCAUCCAGGCGGUUCGAAAGCUCCGGCGGUGCAGGAUGAGCCCGCGGCCUAUCAGCUUGUUGGUGAGGUAACGGCUCACCAAGGCGACGACGGGUAGCCGGCCUGAGA
rnacentral:rRNA from 1 species